UACGGAGGGUGCAAGCGUUAUCCGGAUUCACUGGGUUUAAAGGGUGCGUAGGCGAGCAGAUAAGUCAGUGGUGAAAUCCCCGAGCUUAACUUGGGAACUGCCAUUGAUACUAUUUGUCUUGAAUGUCGUGGAGGUUAGCGGAAUAUGUCAUGUAGCGGUGAAAUGCUUAGAUAUGACAUAGAACACCCAUUGCGAAGGCAGCUAACUACGCGAAUAUUGACGCUGAGGCGCGAAAGCGUGGGGAUCAAACAGG
rnacentral:rRNA from 1 species